rnacentral:rRNA from 1 species
CCUACGGGAGGCAGCAGUGGGGAAUAUUGGGCAAUGGGCGCAAGCCUGACCCAGCAACGCCGCGUGAAGGAAGAAGGCUUUCGGGUUGUAAACUUCUUUUCUCAGGGACGAAGCAAGUGACGGUACCUGAGGAAUAAGCCACGGCUAACUACGUGCCAGCAGCCGCGGUAAUACGUAGGUGGCAAGCGUUAUCCGGAUUUACUGGGUGUAAAGGGCGUGUAGGCGGGAAAGCAAGUCAGAUGUGAAACCCGUAGGCUCAACCUACGGCUUGCAAUUGAAACUGGCGAGCUAGAGUACAGGAGAGG